GCCGCGCUUUUCUGUUUGCUGGAGCCCAUUAUUCGUCUCUUAUAUAGCAACCUACAGAGAGAAGAGACUCAUCCCGCGACAUCUGGGGCUUUCAGGCUAACGUUACCAGAAAGAAUCCGUUUCUACGAUGUUUAUUUGUGUAAAUGCUGUGAGUGCGUUGAGCUCUGCGCGAGCUGGGAGCAGAGUUGCCAUGGAAACG